AUAUUGGUCAAUGGACGCAAGUCUGAACCAGCCAUGCCGCGUGAAGGAUGAAGGCGUUCUGCGUUGUAAACUUCUUUUAUCUGGGAAGAAACCUACGAUUUCUAUUGUAGCCGACGGUACCAGAGGAAUAAGCACCGGCUAACUCCGUGCCAGCCGCCGCGGUAAUACGGAGGGUGCAAGCGUUAUCCGGAUUCACUGGGUUUAAAGGGUGUGUAGGCGGGCGUUUAAGUCAGUGGUGAAAUCUCCAGGCUCAACCUGGAAACUGCCAUUGAUACUAUUUGUCUUGAAUCCUGUUGAGGUGGGCGGAAUAUAUCAUGUAGCGGUGAAAUGCUUAGAUAUGAUAUAGAACACCGAUUGCGAAGGCAGCUCACUAAACAGGCAUUGACGCUGAGGCACGAAAGCGUGGGGAUCAAACAGG
rnacentral:rRNA from 1 species